GGCGCCGUAGCCAAGUGGUAAGGCGGAGGUCUGCAAAACCUCUAUUCGGCAGUUCGAAUCUGCCCGGCGCCU
rnacentral:tRNA from 2 species